rnacentral:rRNA from 1 species
AACGAACGCUGGCGGCGUGCCUAAUACAUGCAAGUCGAGCGCAGGAAACUGACGGAACUCUUCGGAGGGAAGGCAGUGGAAUGAGCGGCGGACGGGUGAGUAACACGUAAGGAACCUGCCUCAAGGAUUGGGAUAACUCCGAGAAAUCGGAGCUAAUACCGGAUAGUUCAACGGACCGCAUGGUCCGCUGAUGAAAGGCGCUUCGGCGUCACCUUGAGAUGGCCUUGCGGUGCAUUAGCUAGUUGGUGGGGUAACGGCCCACCAAGGCGGCGAUGGAUAGCCGACCUGAGAGGGUGAUCGGCCACACUGGGACUGAGACACGGCCCAGACUCCUACGGGAGGCAGCAGUAGGGAAUCUUCCACAAUGGACGAAAGUCUGAUGGAGCAACGCCGCGUGAGUGAUGAAGGUUUUCGGAUCGUAAAACUCUGUUGUAAGGGAAGAACACGUACGAGAGGGAAUGCUCGUACCUUGACGGUACCUUACGAGAAAGCCACGGCUAACUACGUGCCAGCCGCCGCAGUAACAC